rnacentral:rRNA from 1 species
GAGUUUGAUUCUGGCUCAGGAUUAACGCUGGCGGCGUGCGUAACACAUGCAAGUCGAGCGGUAUUUUGAAAGGAAAAGACUUCGGUCUUGGAAAGUCAAGAGAGAGUGGCGAACGGGUGAGUAACGCGUGAGCAACCUGCCUUCCACAAAGGGAUAGCUGCCGGAAACGGUAAUUAAUACCAUAUGAAGUUAACGAAUCGCAUGAUAAGGUAACUAAAGAGAAAUCGGUGGAAGAUGGGCUCGCGUCCGAUUAGCUGGUUGGAGAGAUAACAGCUCACCAAGGCAAUGAUCGGUAGCCGGCUUGAGAGAGUGAACGGCCACACUGGAACUGAGAGACGGUCCAGACUCCUACGGGAGGCAGCAGUGGGGAAUUUUGCACAAUGGGGGGAACCCUGAUGCAGCGACGCCGCGUGAGCGAAGAAGGAAUUCGUUUCGUAAAGCUCUGUCCUAUGGAAAGAUAAUGACG